GACUGACAAUAAGCAACACAAAAGCUCAAAUAAAUUGUUUCUCAUCUCUUUGGAAUCAUGUGGAGCAAACAGGUGUAUCACCUAAAAGCAAAUGUUCAAUAUUUUCUACAUCGUCCUAGAUGCUGGCUGGUAAACAGAACACAGAGAACAUAAUUGAAUAUUUGAUGAUUGAAAAUCUUGCAGUGUCUGUGAGUUCUCAUACUGAACAUCAGUUCUCAUCACACAAGCCUGUAGGUGUACUUGUGGGAUGGCAACAGAUUACACAGAAACUUUAAUGGCCUUGAGAAGCACUCAUAAGGCUUCUUUUUCUUUAUCUUUAUCCUUUAAGAA
rnacentral:lncRNA from 1 species